GAUGAACGCUGGCGGCGUGCCUAACACAUGCAAGUCGAACGGAGUUAUUAUUAUGAAGUUUUCGGAUGGAUUAAUAAUAACUUAGUGGCGGACGGGUGAGUAACGCGUGGGUAACCUGCCUCAUACAGGGGGAUAACAGUUGGAAACGGCUGCUAAAACCGCAUAACAUUGCGAUGUCGCAUGACAAUGCAAUUAAAUAUUUAUAGGUAUGAGAUGGGACCGCGUCUGAUUAGCUAGUUGGUGGGGUAAUGGCCUACCAAGGCGACGAUCAGUAGCCGGCUUGAGAGAGUGACCGGCAACAUUGGGACUGAGACACGGCCCAAACUCCUACGGGAGGCAGCAGUGGGGAAUAUUGCACAAUGGGGGAAACCCUGAUGCAGCGACGCCGCGUGAGUGAAGAAGUAUUUCGGUAUGUAAAGCUCUAUCAGCAGGGAAGAAAAUGACGGUACCUGACUAAGAAGCCCCGGCUAACUACGUGCCAGCCGCCGCCGUAA
rnacentral:rRNA from 1 species